rnacentral:rRNA from 1 species
UGGGGAAUCUUGCACAAUGCGCGAAAGCGUGAUGCAGCAACGCCGCGUGGGGGAAGAAGGCCUUCGGGUUGUAAACCCCUUUCAGUUGGGACGAAGCUUCGCCGGUGAAUAGCCGGCCGGAGUGACGGUACCUUCAGAAGAAGCCCCGGCUAACUACGUGCCAGCAGCCGCGGUAAUACGUAGGGGGCAAGCGUUGUCCGGAAUCAUUGGGCGUAAAGCGCGUGUAGGCGGUUCAGUAAGUCUGCUGUGAAAGUCCAGGGCUCAACCCUGGGAUGCCGGUGGAUACUGCUGGACUAGAGUGCGGAAGAGGCGAGUGGAAUUCCCGGUGUAGCGGUGAAAUGCGCAGAUAUCGGGAGGAACACCAAUUGCGAAGGCAGCUCGCUGGGACGUUACUGACGCUGAGACGCGAAAGCGUGGGGAGCAAACAGG